GACGGGGGAUGCAAGUGUUAUCCGGAUUUACUGGGCGUAAAGCGUCUGCAGGUGGUUUCUUAAGUCUACUGUUAAAUCUUGAGGCUCAACCUCAAAUCUGCAGUAGAAACUAGGAGACUUGAGUAUAGUAGGGGUAGAGGGAAUUUCCAGUGGAGCGGUGAAAUGCGUAGAUAUUGGAAAGAACACCGAUGGCGAAGGCACUCUACUGGGCUAUUACUGACACUCAGAGACGAAAGCUAGGGGAGCAAAUGGG
rnacentral:rRNA from 1 species